AGAAGCGAAAAGUGACGGUACCUGCAGAAAAAGCACCGGCUAACUACGUGCCAGCAGCCGCGGUAAUACGUAGGGUGCAAGCGUUAUCCGGAAUUAUUGGGCGUAAAGAGCUCGUAGGCGGUUUGUCGCGUCUGCUGUGAAAACUGGAGGCUCAACCUCCAGCCUGCAGUGGGUACGGGCAGACUAGAGUGCGGUAGGGGAGAUUGGAAUUCCUGGUGUAGCGGUGGAAUGCGCAGAUAUCAGGAGGAACACCGAUGGCGAAGGCAGAUCUCUGGKCCGUAACUGACGCUGAGGAGCGAAAGCAUGGGGAGCGAACAGGAUUAGAUACCCUGGUAGUCCAUGCCGUAAACGUUGGGAACUAGAUGUAGGGACCAUUCCACGGUUUCUGUGUCGCAGCUAACGCAUUAAGUUCCCCGCCUGGGGAGUACGGCCGCAAGGCUAAAACUCAWAGGAAUUGACGGGGGCCCGCACAAGCGGCGGAGCAUGCGGAUUAAUUCGAUGCAACGCGAAGAACCUUACCAAGGCUURACAUAUACGAGAWCGGGCCAGAAAUGGUCAACUCUUUGGACACUCGUAAACAGGUGGUGCAUGGUGUCGUCAAGCU
rnacentral:rRNA from 1 species